rnacentral:rRNA from 1 species
AUUGAACGCUGGCGGCAUGCUUUACACAUGCAAGUCGAACGGUAACACAGAGAGCUUGCUCUCGGGUGACGAGUGGCGGACGGGUGAGUAACGUCUGGGAAACUGCCCGAUGGAGGGGGAUAACUACUGGAAACGGUAGCUAAUACCGCAUAACGUCGCAAGACCAAAGUGGGGGACCUUCGGGCCUCACACCAUCGGAUGUGCCCAGAUGGGAUUAGCUAGUAGGUGGGGUAAUGGCUCACCUAGGCGACGAUCCCUAGCUGGUCUGAGAGGAUGACCAGCCACACUGGAACUGAGACACGGUCCAGACUCCUACGGGAGGCAGCAGUGGGGAAUAUUGCACAAUGGGCGCAAGCCUGAUGCAGCCAUGCCGCGUGUAUGAAGAAGGCCUUCGGGUUGUAAAGUACUUUCAGCGGGGAGGAAGGCGGUGAAGUUAAUAGCUUCACCGAUUGACGUUACCCGCAGAAGAAGCACCGGCUAACUCCGUGCCAGCCGCCGCCGUAAAAC